UCGAGAAUUUUUCUCAAUGGGCGAAAGCCUGAAGGAGCGACGCCGCGUGGAGGAUGAAGGCCUUCGGGUUGUAAACUCCUGUCAUUCGGGAACAAAGUCCGGCAACUCUAUUGUCGGAUCUGAUAGUACCGGAAGAGGAAGGGACGGCUAACUCUGUGCCAGCAGCCGCGGUAAUACAGAGGUCCCAAGCGUUGUUCGGAAUUACUGGGCGUAAAGCGUGCGUAGGCGGCGGGGUAAGUCGGGUGUGAAAUCUCAGGGCUCAACCCUGAAAUUGCAUUCGAUACUGCUUCGCUUGAGCUCUGAAGAGGAGGUUGGAAUUUACGGUGUAGCAGUGAAAUGCGUAGAUAUCGUAAGGAAGGCCGGUGGCGAAAGCGAACCUCUGGGCAGCAGCUGACGCUGUGGCACGAAGGCUAGGGGAGCAAACGG
rnacentral:rRNA from 1 species